rnacentral:lncRNA from 1 species
GAGGGGCGGGCGCUCUGCUGACCGACCGCCCGCUGCGCCAAUCGACGCGCGCCCCGCGCUCGGGGGGCGGGAUCGCCGGUCGGGACGGAGCUAAUCCGAGAUUGACGGCCAGAUCCGCCAAUCGCGCCGCACGGGGCGAGCAGGGGUGAGCGCAGGCUGCGGCGCGAGAACGCUGCGACGCGUUUGCCAAUCAACCUGCACGACCGACCACGGGAGGGGGCGGAGCUUCCCCUGGACUGAAGGAACCCCGCACCAAUCGGCCGGCAGCGUGGGCCGGGGGGCGGGGCAGCGGGAGGAGCCUGCGUGAGCCGUGCGCCGGGCGGAGAACAGCGCUGCGCGGGGCUGCGUGCGGGUCCGGCGCUACGGCCCGAGGACACCGACCGCAUCAGCAAAUGACCCCUGUGUUCUGACGCGUUCGAAUUAGCUUUUCUUCCACCAGAAACGUUUUAAUUGAAUAAUCACGUGGGAGACGAUGUUCCGUUGUUUUACUUUGCUCCUGGUGCGUGCACGUCGGGCUGCAGCGCCUGCAUCUGCACGUGUCCUCUCACGGCCGCGACGGCCGCUGGUCUCAGGGACGGGCAUUGGAACCUCGCUGUGCUGCUGUGGGCACAUCUCGGCUCCGAGACGUCCUGAGAUCUGACACCGACUUCAUGCAAAUUCCACAAGAAAACAGUGUUGAGGUUCACGGCAGCUGCAGACGUACAGCUCACGACCUCACCCGUCAGCGGGUUUGCAACGUAAGGCUGCUCUCAUUUCAACAGCGAGAGCAAUUCAGGGCAUUUUAAACGCAGCAGAGUGCCUCAUUUCGGAGCCCGCCCUGCCCUAAUUGAAUGCCAAGCCCUUGAUGUAACUUACUGAUAGCACAACGUGUAAUGCUAUCUGGGAAGGUACGGCACCGUAUCAUUAAGGACUUGUCAGAGCACUCCUCUGUGACGGCGGUACACGUAAGGUGAGCUGCGAAUUCGUCAGUGGCGGAAUAAGAAGCUUUAUAACCAACCCUUCCGUUCCUUUCCUGCCUCAGCCACAGGCACUGCCUCCAACACCCCGCGAGCGUCCGAAACACAGCGACACAAAGCCUCAUCUCCACAGCCUGUUGGCAUCUCCAGGACACUCAUGGGAUGAGCAGCCCGCCGCCAGGGAACGCAAAAGGCACUCACACAGAAAAUAUAUUUACUUAAAUAAAACAGAACUCCUCCUGUCCACAAGAUGGGAUGCAUUACCACGUCACUGCCUCGUGUUUCUUGAUGCUGCGCUGUUAGCGCUGCCAAAUUGCCGGAGCUGCUGUUCUGUGUGGGAGGUGUUAAAACCUUUUUUUAGACAGAGAUAAUUGGAUCAUCUGAAGGAUGUUGAUGGUUUUAUUCUCAGUCGAUUUUCUUAAAUAUUUUUGCUAACGUUAUUGGUGCGGAAGGAAUACUGUCUAGCAGACUGAGCAAGCUGCCAGAGGGUGCGAGAGGUCUUCAGCAUAGCUGUGAAUAAAGCCCCAAAAGAUUUACUACUUCCUUACUACGAAACAGAGCCGAGCAUCGGCCACACGGCUGAGAGCAGAGCGCAGCCUUCACUGCAGGUAGGAGAGACCAAGUAGUGCUCCUGUGUAACCAAAGGCAUCCUCCUCUGUUCACUACUGUUCCAAUACUACAGCUCACCAAAUGAUUUUAUACAGCUCCCAAGGAAAAGCAGGUUUAAAACGGAGCCGACGGGAAUAUAAUUUCCUAAUAUAAUUAGGAAAUAUUUCAGAACCAAACUUGCAUUGCCACCGAUGUCCUGGGAAGUGCAGCCGUGGUUUCGUUCUGUUGCCUGGGGAGCACCACAGGAGUUGCACAGCCCUGCUGGGGAUGGCACUGCCUGCUCUGCCUUCAGACGGCUGCAGUGUGAAGAGGUCGUGACACGAAGACAUGAAGGUGGACCACAGUGUUAAAUAAAUCUUAUUAGAAUUAUUUAAAAGUCUUUCAUUUGCUUCUUUUAUUAAAUUCAUUUCCCUCUCGUCCAUUGAACCAUCCUAUGGAAUCAAUGUCAUUAAUCAAAUGGAUUUUUGUGGAAGAGUGGUUAAGUACUUACGAUGGCAUAAGAAGUGCUAAUAUCAAUAAAACUUCUUAUCAACGGAAUUUCCUCCUGACUGAAUUGAAAUCCAGCCGUGGGUGCACAAACUGCUUUCCCCAGGCAUCACUCUCAGAUGUUAUGGGCAGCCAAAACACCAAUUCUGCCAGUUCUCUUUCUUUAUGCCACCAACAACUGUCUAAUGCUGGACCAAACCACAUCUGUGCUGACAGAUUCGUGGUUUAAAGCUCCCUCUAUAAUUCUGUCUUUCAGACAAAAUCAGGAGAUGUAGCAAAGUUCUUUCCAUUAAUGCAGAAAGAAAUGCAAAACGAUGACCUUUGUAAAGGUGCUGUACAGCCCUUAUAGCUGCAUUGGAAAUUCCUUGCCAUCGUCUUCUACUUAUUCUCUCCUAUUUAUUUUUAGCAAACACUAAGUUGUGUGCUCUACUAAAUCCA